AACGCAUAUUGCGCCCUCUGGUAUUCCGGGGGGCAUGCCUGUCCGAGCGUCAUUACUACCUUCAAGCACGGCUUGUGUGUUGAGCAUUUUGUUUCAUUUUCAGUGAACAAGGCUUGAAAUGCAGUGGCGAUGCCUUAAAUUGGUUGCCUGAACGUAUAGGGCUAUGUCACACGUUCUUGUGGCUCCAGUUGUGCAUCUUGUUCCAACUUCUAAAAAAUCUCGAAUUGACCUCGGAUCAGGUAGGAAUACCCGCUGAACUUAA
rnacentral:misc_RNA from 1 species